rnacentral:lncRNA from 1 species
CAGUGGCUCAAGCCUGUAAUCCCAGCACUUUGGGAGGCCUAGGCAGGCAGAUCACGAGGUCAGGAGAUCGAGACCAUCCUGACUAACAUGGUGAAACCCCGUGUCUACUAAAAACACAAAAAAAUUAGCCGGGCGUGGUGGCGGGCGCCUGUAGUCCCAGCCACUCGGGAGGCUGAGGCAGGAGAACGGCGUGAACCCGGGAGGUGGAGCUUGCAGUGAGCCAAGAUCGCGCCACUG